AUGGGUUCGGUGAGUGAAGGCGGCCCUACAGUAUCUUCUAGCCAAGGGAAGCGCAGGGUAGUUGUUGCAAAGAUUAAGCAUGGACUUCGUGGCACCCAUCCCACCAGUGGUGUAGCUAGUAAAAUUGUUGAUCCAUCUCUGCGUCAGAGUCCACGCAUUGCUAGUGGUCCAGUGGUUGAUCGUGUCUAUCCGAGUGUUAAGCUUGACGGAAAGCAUGUUUCUUUCGAGGGCUCAGAGGCUGGAGGUGGUUGUAGAGGACCUUCUGUUGAUGGCAUUAGGCUCGACUGGAAUAAUGUUGUUCCUAAGAAGCGUCGGCCCAAGGUUGUUGGGAGUGGACCAAACAAGAAGGCGGCAAAGUCCACGACAUCAAAUGUUGGUGCUUGCGAUAGGAUCAAUGUAAUUGUUCGAUGUUCUUUGGGAGAGGUUUCUGAGGCAGUUGCUCUACUUGACACACGACAUAAAGAUAUUGUUCGUAAGGCUGGUUUUGGCUGUGUAUUUGACUGGGUUCUGAAGGGCAAUGUGUCGCGCCUUCUGAUGUGUCACUUGAUGAAGAAUAUUGACACGGCCACGAUGCGCAUUGACUGUGGCCCUAAUAAAGUUCUUGUAGUCAACAGAGAAACCGUGCAUCAGUGUUUUGGGUUCCCGAUGGGUGAUGACACAGCUCCCAGGCCAGUUGAUAGUGGCCAUGACGAGUCAAUGGCUAGAUUUAAGGCGGAGUUGGGUUUCAACAAAGCUUCUGUGGUUGACACGGAAGACCUGAGGGCUGUGUUGAAGCAUCUUGUAGUCGAUGAGUCAAGGGACGUGCUUGCUGUAAAGGUUUUCUUUGCUAUCCUUUUCUCAAAGAUGAUAUGCCCAGGUCCUGCUGUCCGUGUAGGCAGGGAGGCGGCAAUGCUAGAUGGUAUUGUUUUUGAAGAUAUGGCAACGAUGGAUUUUUGCCAGUUAGUAGUGGAUGAGAUAAAGCGUGCAACUAUGAGAUGGCAAGAUCCAAAUAUCAUUGAAGCAGGUCCAGAAGGUUGUGGAGUAGUGCUAGUCCUUAUGUAUCUUGAUUGUUGCCUACUGAAGGGCGAGUCUGUGAUGCAUGUGCAGACUCCGCGUGCAAAUUUCCUGACAGAGAAGGUGUUGAAUUCAAUUUUCUUGAAAGAAAUUAUAAAGAAUGGUGGGAAAUUUCUGGAUGGCUAUGUUUUCGGAAAACUUGGGUGGAAAUCCCGUAACCAGAUUGCAUAUUGCCAGCAAGUUUCCCCUGGGCAAAGUCGUGAUCGCGACUUUCAUGAUGCUCAUGUCCAUAUCUGUGCUCCGAAACAACAUGCACAGAAUGAAGAUGUAGCCUUUAAAGUACAAAAAUCUAGUAACACCACGGAUGAUGAUGGUGUAUUUGAGAAGAUUGAUGAUUUUUUACGGAAGGUGAAUGAGUUGGCUGAUGAAGUUCCCACGACGUCUGAUCGUCUGAUCUGCAUUGCUGGCAAUUUUCCUGAAGGCAUGGACCAAGAGAAGAAUCAAUGA
rnacentral:rRNA from 1 species